ensembl:lncRNA
GUUCAUCCAAGUACAACCCAAUCUUCCUACAUCCAUCAUUGUUUUGCUACAAGGUGUACAGCCUGGCCUGGGAGCAUUAGAGCAAAAGUUCAAGAUUGAUUGUCCCAAUCUGAAAAAGCAACUUGCUUCAUUACAGCGGUCUACACCAGCGGUUCCCAACUCCAGGAACCAUUGGUUUACACAAUCCCCACAAGGUUAAGUGAAUGUGCUGAACAUGGAUUCCACUCCGCAAGAAUAAAACCUGAGCGUGACUCAGUACUGUUGAAAUAAAAUAAAGUUGACUGGGAGAGCAAAAUUGCAUGCAAUGCGGAGCUGCAGAUAUGUCUGUCUGAGGGAUCCAAGAAUUCACAGCAACGGAAGAACCGUACCCAGACAUCAAGAAACAGCAGACAGCAAAACUCUAAGGAGCAGGAACGUGACUGUGUCUACGCUACAUGCUCAGUACACGUGUGUAUGUAAUUU